UAACAUAUUUCAGAUGUUUCUCCUAUAUUCACCCAUUUCGAAUAUUUCAUUAAUUAGCUUAAGUACAUUCUUAACAUACUUUAUCUGAAUGAAUUAUUUCCUAAAAUCACUCUGUUAACACAGAUAACUCUACUAAAGUUACUUAAAAUAUCAAGCUUCCCACAAAGGUUGCAUGUUUCUCAUGGACAAUUCUCAGAGAAGCUUAUCUCACGCAA
rnacentral:lncRNA from 1 species